rnacentral:rRNA from 1 species
CAUGAAGUUGGAAUCGCUAGUAAUCGCGGACCAGCAUGCCGCGGUGAAUACGUUCCCGGGCCUUGUACACACCGCCCGUCACACCNUGAGAGUCGGGGACACCCGAAGUCCGUAGUCUAACCGCAAGGGGACGCGGCCGAAGGUGGAUUCGAUAAUUGGGGUGAAGUCGUAACAAGGUAAC